UGAACGCAGAAUAUUUCCAGAGGGCAACAGGGCCCAAAUGGCCAGAGAACUGUACUAGCCUAAAGCCAUGGCCACAAGCAGCAAAGGGAUCCGAGACAGACUGCUGCCUCCCCUGGGGAUGGGAUGGAGGCUGUGACACACCAAAGGCAGAACACUCCAGAGCUGCAGGCUCUCUCCAGAAAAGGCCACACUCCCAUUGCGCCUGCUGGGUGCCUGAUGCCAUUCAAACCAUGAGUAGAGCACCAGGCACCCUUUCCUAUCAGCCUCAUCUCAGUGGCCAGAGAUUAAGAUAAACUCUUCCCCCUCCCACCCAGGGCCUCCCAACUCCACCUACAGAUCGGGGGCCCUGCUGCCCACAUGGAUCAUGCUGCCCUCGUGAACAAGUGACGCCUGUAGAGAACCUGUUGUGAAGCGUAAGGACACAGGGAAGCUAAAGGCCAAACAGCUGAGCAAAGGAGAAGGGAGAGAGAGGUAGGAACGCACCACGUGCUACUCAGCUGCUGGGCCCUGACAGCCAGCUUACAGCGUCACAGCCUCAACAGAUAUGACAUAACCACUGAAACACCAGAGGGGACAUAACUCAAGCGCAAUUACUCCCCUGAAACCUUACACUGUCACUGCAGGGGGCAGGAGCAGGGGACCAGGCUGGUGACUGUGACCCCACCCGCAUCAGAGCUUGUGACACGGGGCCAUGGCCUGACACUCCUAUCUCCCAGCACACACAAGGGCUGGCCCCAGACCAGGGAAGGAGGAGAGCACUCCAGUCACAAGGGCCAUCAGAGCCUGGAGGAGAAUGCUUUCAGACAGACACACAGUACACAGGACAUCUGCAAGCCACAGCAGUCUAGAGCUGUCAACCGGGAAUGUUUACGUAACACAGACAAAAAGAUAUGAUGAAAAAGGAACCUCAGGCUCAAGAGAAGUUUGUUUUCCAGCAGAUAGUUCCCAUUGUGUCAGGAACCUGCACUUACAAAGAUGGCCAUGGAAGCAAACUUGCUAGGUGAUGCACUGGAGGUUUCUUCCCCUCAGGUGGGGAAGGGAGGUGGACUGGAAACAGGAAGGAGAUUUCUGCACAUGGCAACCUUCUCUCCAUUUUCAGAAGGAACCUUAAUACUGAGCAUCCUCUGCAGCCAGGAGU